rnacentral:lncRNA from 1 species
AUUUAGACAAAAAACGGGAGAAUCGGUUGAUGAAUAUUUAAACUGAUUCAAGACGGCUCGAAGCCGAUGUUUUGUGAGGAUGCCGGAAUCAGAAAUUGCCAAAAUUGCAUUUAACGGCAUGCAUUUUAAGAUUAAGGAUCAUUUUGAGGAUAAGUUUUUUUUAAAUCUUUUUGAUUUGGGAGUUCGAGUUGCUCAAUACGAGCAAUUUCGAAAAGGGAAUAAUGAAGAUCGGCCUAGAUGGAGCCGAAACAAGGAAUGGAAUAAAGGGAAAGAGAAAAAUAUUU